GAUCAACUUUGGUGUUUAUGACGUCGAUAUUCGACGUCAUAUACACGAUCAACUUUGGUGUUUAUAACGUCGAAUAUCGACGUCAUAAACACCAAAG